GUUUGAUCAUGGCUCAGGAUGAACGCUGGCGGCGUGCCUAACACAUGCAAGUCGAGCGAUUCUCUUCGGAGAAGAGCGGCGGACGGGUGAGUAACGCGUGGGUAACCUGCCCUGUACACACGGAUAACAUACCGAAAGGUAUGCUAAUACGAGAUAAUAUGCUUUUAUCGCAUGGUAGAAGUAUCAAAGCUCCGGCGGUACAGGAUGGACCCGCGUCUGAUUAGCUAGUUGGUAAGGUAACGGCUUACCAAGGCGACGAUCAGUAGCCGACCUGAGAGGGUGACCGGCCACACUGGGACUGAGACACGGCCCAGACUCCUACGGGAGGCAGCAGUGGGGAAUAUUGGACAAUGGGCGCAAGCCUGAUCCAGCCAUGCCGCGUGAGUGAUGAAGGCCCUAGGGUUGUAAAGCUCUUUCAACGGUGAAGAUAAUGACGGUAACCGUAGAAGAAGCCCCGGCUAACUUCGUGCCAGCAGCCGCGGUAA
rnacentral:rRNA from 1 species